GCCUACAGGCUUCUCAGGGAAGCGCGGCUCUCCUUCUCUUCCACCUAAAAACGAAGCCUUUCGGUGUCUCUCGGUCUUCGAUUUUUUCCCAAGAAAAUCUUGAAGGGUUUGGAUAAUUUGAGCUAUAGAUCGAGGAGUGGGAGAAGAGAAGAGGAGACGUAGAGGAGGGAUCGGCCAUGGGACAGGCGUUUCGGAAGCUCUUCGACACCUUCUUCGGCAACAAAGAAAUGAGGGUUGUGAUGCUUGGACUAGAUGCAGCGGGUAAAACUACUAUCUUGUACAAGUUGCACAUUGGAGAAGUUUUAUCAACAGUUCCAACAAUUGGCUUCAAUGUAGAGAAAGUUCAGUAUAAAAAUGUGAUUUUUACUGUGUGGGAUGUUGGUGGGCAAGAGAAACUAAGGCCAUUGUGGAGGCAUUACUUUAACAACACUGAUGGUCUGAUUUAUGUAGUUGAUUCCUUGGACAGAGAAAGAAUUGGGAAAGCCAGAGCAGAGUUUCAGGCCAUCAUCAACGAUCCCUUCAUGCUUAACAGUGUCAUAUUGGUAUUUGCAAACAAACAGGACAUGGUGAAUAGUUCUCAUGUAUGUGGCGGUCACAUGUCGGUGAGAUUUCAAGGAGAUGUCCAUGUUAAUUAUUAAACAUGUUACAACCUGAAUUUAGCUCAGUGGACGUAGUCCUUUUCUCCCAAGCUGGGGGUCUGGGGUUAGAGUCUUGAGUAGGUUCUUCCCUCGGGAGUUUGACCGAGUAAUUUACUCUGGGAUUUCUGCAGUGCAGAUCCUGGUUUCAUUUCUCAACUCAGCCCAGAUACUCUCUUCUACAACGAGCAGGUGGGAUUUCUCUCCCGAUCUAAAUGUUUUUUUAAAAGAAACUUGGACAGGCAUUCCAUAGGAUUUGCUUGGACAUAAUUUCCAUUCAGCAGACUCAUGCCGUUCAGCAUGCGCCUUUUCGGAUUGAUUGCCGACCAGUGAUAUUCGGGUUCUCUCUUGUUUAUGAAAGGUGCAAUGACCCCCAUGGAAGUGUGUGAGGGGCUUGGUCUAUAUGAUCUGAGGAACCGGAUAUGGCAUAUCCAAGGCACUUGUGCUCUUAGAGGUGAUGGCCUCUACGAGGGUUUGGAUUGGCUCGCCAAUAC